UAGGGAAUAUUAGUAAUGGGCGAAAGCCUGAACUAGCAACACCGCGUGUGCGAAGAAGGCCUUCGGGUUGUAAAGCACUUUUUGAGAGGAUGAGGAAGGACGGUACUCUCAGAAUAAGUCUCGGCUAACUACGUGCCAGCAGCCGCGGUAACACGUAGGAGGCAAACGUUAUCCGGAUUUACUGGGCGUAAAGCGCGUGUAGGUGGUUUGGUAAGUAGAGCGUGAAAGCCCCGGGCUCAACUUGUAGAGUUCUU
rnacentral:rRNA from 1 species